UUUUUUUUUUGGUUGAAAAAUUUAUGAUGAUUUUUAAUUAUUAUAUUGUUUUGGUAGAUACUAAUGGCAUUAUCAGCAUCACACAAAGCACAUAAUGCUGAUAUUAGCCAACAUAUAGCCAAAUGUGAUGCAAGGAGAUUGUACCAAACAGGGGAAGGAAGAACAGGUGUCACUGUUGAUGAAGCAGUUGUCUUGGAGAUUCUCAGUAAAAGAAGCAUUCCACAGCUCAAACUCACCUUUUCUAGUUAUAAGCAUAUUUAUGGCCAUAGUUAUGCUAAAGUAAGUCUCUCUACUACUGCUUCCUCUUCCCAAAAUUUUUCUUUAAAACAAACCAAGAUUAAAAGAGCUUAGCUUAUAUACAACCAUGGUUUAAAGGAUUAAAAAAAUGGACAGUCCGGUGUACUAAGCUCCCAUUAUGUGUGGGGUCCAGGGAAGAGCCGGGCCACAAGAGUUUGUUGUAAGCAGUUUUAUCCUGCAUUUAUUCAAGAGGCUGUUUUCACGGCUUAAACCCGUGAUCUCCUGGUGACGUGCAGCAACUUUACCUGCAAAGUUCUCUUCCCUUAUUCAAAGGAUUGUCAUCCAAAAUAUAGUUACAUGUAACCAUUCUUGAAAUAUGACCUGAAACUGUACACUAUUAGGAGAGAAUAAGAAAGGAGGAAAGUUGGCAGCUUGAACAGUAUUUAUUUCUUUUUGUCUCCAACACCCCCCAAUUUUAGUGUAAUAAAUAAAAUAGAACCAAGAAUGUUACUGUUCCCUUCCUUUGUUUCCAAACAAAGUCAAUAAAUUCCUGUGUUUGGAUUAAAAAGAGAACAUGGGGGGACAACUUCAAUAAGUAUUUUUGUUUUGGAGAAACAAUGUGGACCCUAGAGAGAGAUAUGUUGAUUUUCUCUAUCUCCUUUUCUUUUCCAUUUUGCAUACCAAGCAAGAAAUGGUCCAGGCAGUUUUCCUUUCCUUAGGUUGCAUAAUUUUAUAUUUCUGUUUUGGUUUUUACCUUGUUCAAGGGAGUAAGUAGGUCUAAGAAGAUAAUGAGUUUUUGCAAUUUGACAUUGUUAGUUUUAAUCAUGUUGGCAAUUCUGUUUACUUUUCAUUUUAAUCAUUGUUAACAAAGCUUCAUUGUAGUAUUUGAAAUUUGGAAAAUGUGGAGAGUUGGAGGAAGCAGUAGUCAAAUACAUGUGCAGCCCCACAAAGUAUUUUUCUCAGGUAGUGUUCCAUUCAUUGCGCCGAGGGUCGAUUGGAAACAGCCUCCCUGCCCUUUGGGAUAGGGGUAAGGCUUGUCUACAUAUUACCCUCCCCAGACUCCCACCUGGUGGGAAUAUAUUGGGUAGUUGUUGUUGUUCCAUUCAUAUGCUUUGACAGAGUCACCUGGGAUCCUAUUUGUAGUAAAAACUGUUUCCAACUUUUUUCUGUUUAGACUAAUUUGAACUCACGCUAGGUAGGCAUGGCACCACUAAACGCUUCUUUUUUAAAAAUAAAAUACUACUAAGAGUGCAAAAAUCUUCAACCAUCCUUUGAUGGCAUCCUAUUUUAACUCAGCAAUGGGUAUUAGUGCUGUCAUUACCAAUGUCUACUCAAAUUCUGGGGACUCUUUUCUCUGACUUGACCACCUUGAAUUUACAACUUAUCAUUCUAUACAAGUGAAAAAAGAAAACAAAAUGAAGAAUGACAGUGAUUAAGUUUAGGAGUCGGUUUCUAAAUUGUUUAAUAAAUAAUGUUAGGUUGUAAACAACCUAACAUUGGAAACAACUUCUUUGCCCUUUCGGGUAGGGGUAAUGUCCGUCUACAUAUUACCCUCCCCACACCCCAUUUUGUGGGACUAUACUGGGUAGUAGUUGUUGUAUUAACUAAACGAGUGGAGUUGAGUAUUGCACAGAUGCUGUAUGAAUGCUUAAAGGGAAGAACAAGGGAUAAAGGAGGAUUGAUGAGAAUAAUGGUAAGUAGGGCAGAGGUUGACAUGGACGAUAUUCAAGUGGCCUUCAACAAGAAAUAUGGAAUUCAUCUGAAAAACGCCAUUUGUCAAAGUAUUCCUCAAGGAGACUACAGAGACUUUCUUGUAACAUUGGCUGCCAAUAGAUCUACGCCUACUUCUCUUUAAACCAUUUUUGUAUCUACUUACUAGAAUAUACGGAAAAUAAUACUUAUACACUUUGACAAGAGGGGUUGCUCUGAUGGUAAGCAACCUCUCUUUAAACCUUUUUUGUAUGUACGGAAAAUAUUACUUAGGUAUGAAUAGGUAUCUUUAGGAUUACUAUCCUUAAUCUUAUCGUAAUGGGAUGUAUUGCUCUUAAUUUUCACUGUCACUAUAUAAACUUUAUGAACUCGUUUCAAGUUAUUAUUAUAUUCUUACCAACACAAUUAUCUGGCACUCCGGUGGAUAUUGACUCGUGCAAAAUUUGAGACUUGAAUAUUGAAGACUGGCAGGGGCUUAUGUAGUGUGUUGCCGACGGGUUCACUGAACCCUUAACUUUCGAAGCGAAGUAAAAAUUUAUUAAAAUUACAUAACUAGUAAAUAUGAACCUAUAACUUUAAAACUAUAAUGGGAUCAACGCUAAAAAACUUAAAAGUCGAACCUAUAGGAUUUAAAUCUUGAAUCCGUCCUCUGAAGAUUGGUCCAGUUUGCGUUUUUUAUCCACUUGAAAUGAAGCUUAUUUAAAUAAACUCGGAUUCAGCUAAAAACUAAAUAAAAAAGGAGAAUAAUGAACUUAUUUUUUCACUGGGUAGUGGUGAGAAACUGGGGCGCCCUGUGGGCCAAUGCGUAUAAGCUUGGGCUUUCUUAACGUGGCUCAGUACUAAAAUUUACACAACUCGUUCUACAAUUCUUUUACCAAUUCAUUUUCUUUUGGAUUUAACUUUAAACACACGAACAAUUGUGAAAAUUUUCCACUAUUUCAUGACCACUACGUAGGUUUUAAUUCAAAGAAGAGAAAACUAAGGAGACCAUGCAGAAGAAAUGGGACGAAUGAAGCAAUAACUUUAUGUUUUUGGAUUGACAAUGAGAAAGGAAUCUGUGGUCUUUGCACUAGUUUAACACGUACGCCCUCAGAUAGCAGGUUGUUACUUCGAAGCUUUACUGAACAUGAUAAAUAAAAAUAGGAUUUCAUACCAAAAGAGUUAUGUAUUCAACACAACUGCAGAAUCUUAUUGUGAUAAAGUUCUAAAAAAUAGAGAAUUCGAGAUACAUAUCAAUCCGAGGAUCAUUCCAGAUAAUAUUUUCAACCAUCCAUACACUGAAUUUAUUAGAGAAGAUACACAACGAACAGGCUAAUAUCUCUUCGCAACUCACAAUAAGCAACUCAGGAAGCGCGCAGGAGGACUGGCAAGUUUCCUGGAGGAUAACUUUUUGAAGCAUGACCCCGAUCACACGGCUGAGGUUAGCCUUUACCCCGAGAAUAACUCAAAUUAAUCGACAAACUGUAGUGCAACUCAGAUAUACAGAGUAUGGAGAACACAUAAUCUGAAUUACCAGAUCAUUAAAAUAUGAAAACAACACUUUCAUGGACUCUGGAUUUCUGGUUCUGAGCCACACAUUCAGAUAUCCACAUUAAGUUCCUGAUCUCCAGCUCUCUCAGCCUUACAUAUGCAAAAAAUACACCAUAGUGGAACUGCAAUAAAGGAGUAGAGAGAAUCAGUGAGGGAAGUACACAGAUUAUAAUAUAUCACUUUACAUUCUUUACCUUUUUUCUUGUAUAAUUUGGGAACUGGGAGGACUAGGGGGACAAGAGGGGUUGCUCUGAUGGUAAGCAACCCCCACUUCCAACCGAGAGGUUGUGAGUUACGGCUGAGGUUAGCCUUUACCCCGAGAAUAACUCAUAUUAAUUGACAAAUUCCAGUGCUACUCAGAUAUACAAAAGAGUAUGGAGAGCACAUAAACUGAAUUACCAGAUCAUUAAAAUAUGAAAACAACACUGUCAUGGACUCUGGAUUUCUGGUUCUGAGCCACACAUUCAGAUAUCCACAUUAAGUUCCUGAUCUCCAGCUCUCUCAGCCUUACAUAUGCAAAAAAUACACCAUAGUGGAACUG
rnacentral:lncRNA from 1 species